rnacentral:rRNA from 1 species
AUUGAACGCUGGCGGCAGGCCUAACACAUGCAAGUCGAGCGGAUGAGUGGAGCUUGCUCCAUGAUUCAGCGGCGGACGGGUGAGUAAUGCCUAGGAAUCUGCCUGGUAGUGGGGGUCAACGUUUCGAAAGGAACGCUAACACCGCAUACGUCCUACGGGAGAAAGUGGGGGAUCUUCGGACCUCACGCUAUCAGAUGAGCCUAGGUCGGAUUAGCUAGUUGGUGAGGUAAAGGCUCACCAAGGCGACGAUCCGUAACUGGUCUGAGAGGAUGAUCAGUCACACUGGAACUGAGAAACGGUCCAGACUCCUACGGGAGGCAGCAGUGGGGAAUAUUGGACAAUGGGCGAAAGCCUGAUCCAGCCAUGCCGCGUGUGUGAAGAAGGUCUUCGGAUUGUAAAGCACUUUAAGUUGGGAGGAAGGGCAGUAAGUUAAUACCUUGCUGUUUUGACGUUACCAACAGAAUAAGCACCGGCUAACUUCGUGCCAGCAGCCGCCGUAAUAC